UUAAGUCAGUGCAAUAUUUGACAUCAUCGCCAUCACCAUCACCAUCUUCAUCAUCAUCAUCAUCACUAUCAUCAUUUAAUGUUUGUUUACCAUGCUGUCAUAGAUUGUAUAGUUUGACAGGAUCUGGCUACAGGAAAAAAAACCCCACCUUAACUAAAUGUGUGUGUGUGAGGUUGGGAGUGGGUAUUAAAACCGGCGAUACCAAUGUUAGUAGUAUGUUUGUAUCAUUGGUAUUUAUAAUUGGAAGUAAAUUGUCUUUUGAAGUUUUAGUUUUCUGUCUUUCAUCAAAACCUGUACCUGAAAGCAAUUUUUUUUAAGUUAUGAGGAAGUGAAUUUUCAUAUUUUGGCAAUUCCUAUCAUGUCUAAAAGCAUUUUAGGAAACAAAUGUCACCAUUUCAAACUGACAUUGAGUCAUUAAUUAAUUAAUGAUGAAUUAACACCUAACAAAAUAUUGACUUUAUUAAUUAAGUAAUAUUGUGAACACUCUUAUACAUAAAAUUUUAUUAUCACCUUCACAGACGUUCACAAUAUUCCAUAAUUAAUACAAUCCUUUCUACUAUUGGCACAAGGCCUGAAAUUUUAAGGGAGAGCUAGUCAAUUACAUCAAUCCCCAGCACUUGACUGGUUCUUAAUUUAUCAAUCCUGGAAGGAUGAAAGGCAAUGUCAACCUCGGUGGAAUUUGAACUCAGAACGUAAAGACAGACAAAAUGCCGCUAAGCCUUUUGUCUAGCAAAUCUGUGCCGGCAUGGAACAUAGACAUUAAAUGAUGAUGAUGAUUUAAGCAUGAUAGCAAAUGGUAACAAUAUUUUAUGUUUGUUUUAUGGUGAUUGAUAGACUGCUCUACACUUAACAUAGAAAAGCAAUUAGGUAAGUGAAAUAAAAUUCUGACAACUCUAGCUUGGAUUCUUGAAGAAUGGAUAACUUAUGCAAAAAAAAUCACGCUUAUUAAUUAAUCAUUAAUAUCGUUUAUUAAAUUUAUAUAAUAUUGUCCAACUCAAUCUUAAGCCAAAAUUUCACAAAAUAAAAAAAAAAAUUGGUGUAGUAGAUACACUUUUUAAUAUCAACACCUGGCACCUGGGGGUCCUUAGUGGACAUUUGGGCAGGUCUUUGAUCUCAAAAUAACUUUCCCCAGUUACAAAUACCCUGAAAAGGCAACAACUGCUACCUUUUCUCUUCUGACAGCUAGUAAAUAAACAUAAACCCCUCAGAAUUUAAAGUAAUUAACCCUUUCGUUACUAACCCGGCUGAAACCACCUGUGGCUCUGUUGUACAAAUGUCUUG